UACGGGGGGGGCAAGCGUUGUUCGGAAUUACUGGGCGUAAAGGGUUCGUAGGUGGCCUGCUAAGUCAGACGUGAAAUCCCUCAGCUUAACUGGGGAACUGCGUCUGAGACUGGAAGGCUCGAGUGCAGGAGAGGAACGCGGAAUUCCAGGUGUAGCGGUGAAAUGCGUAGAUAUCUGGAGGAACACCGGUGGCGAAGGCGGCGUUCUGGACUGCAACUGACACUGAGGAACGAAAGCCAGGGGAGCAAACGGG
rnacentral:rRNA from 1 species